AUGGGAUUACGGAUCCCCAUCCUCUCUGAUCCUUACUCGGACCAGUGCUCAGGAAAACCACUUAGAAUGAUCGCGCAGAAGAAGCCUCGACGUUUCGUUGAUCUGCCCCUGCUUCCGUGGCUCCACACGAUGGGUCCCACUGCUUCUUGGCAGUGGGUGUGCGGAGCAAGAAGUCGGGCAGCAGUGCUGUGCUGCUGGCAGAGACCCGUUGGGAAAGGCCACGGUGCAGACACGCAGGCCUGGCCAGGCCCCAGUGUUCCCCACGCACAGCCAUCACAGGCUCUGUGUCCCCAUGCGUCCCAGCACAGCCCUGGGCACACCUUGGCUGCUCCUCAUUGCAUCGGCCACACGCUGCUCCCGCACACAAAGGCCUUUAUGCUCGCGCACACAAUGGGCUCUUUCAGUUGCAUUUACUUUUACCUUAUGUUUCAGUCAAGUGUGAAGAGCCUCUGGGUGAAAGGGGUCAAAGACAUAAAUUCAGCCAGGAUGGGGUUGUGCUGCUCUUCCCACGGUACACAUUCUUACGUAUACGAAGGAGGAAUGGUGUUUGGAAACCAUCUACACAGAAUGGACACUGGGAGCUCUUCCACGAGGGCCAUUUGCUGCAGACGUUCUGGCUUUGAGGGAGAUGCUCCCACCUCCUGUCCUGAGCUGAACACGUAUAGCACCUCAGUCACCCACUAUGUCUCAACUGAGCAAACAUGGGAAGGCUCUCCUCAAAUGACAGAGGGAUCAGGCUGCUGUGGUCUAAGGAGAAGUGCACGCGCCAGCAUCUUUGUGGCAUUCAGGCAGCUGCAGGAUGACCACCAUCAUCUCUUCAUUGCCAUACUGUGGGUAAAAAUGGUAGCAGGCUUGCUCCUCAGCAAAAAAACUUCAGUUCAAGUCACAGGAACCUCCCCCCCCUUGAGGAAGAAUGAGGUGCUGGGAUGCAGCAAUGCAUCCCUUGUCAGAGCACCCUUUAUGAGCACAUCUUGCAACUGCCUCUUGUCCACAGGUGAGGCUGAUCCGGAGGCAGCCCAGGGCAAAGGUGGCACCAUGUAG
rnacentral:lncRNA from 1 species